CUGAAGCUAUUUAAGCUUACUUGACUCCUUACUUUAUAGGAGCCUGGUAUGCCAUAGCUGCAAACACCAACAUUCUUGGUUGUGUACUUAGUAUGUUGAUUGUUUGGGUUAUCCUAAGAGUCCACUGGAAACAGGG
rnacentral:snoRNA from 1 species